AGAAGCUUUCAAGAGGUCACGAAAACUGCUGGAUCUGCAUCAUAUUUCGCUGCCAGUUUCAUACUCGAAGGCCAUCCCUUAACCAAUUAACCGAAAUCCGUCUUUAUUUGUCAAACGUUUAGGCCUCGGUGUAGCCGGAAGCAUUGGCCAAGGAGCAGGACGUGGCUAAGCAGAGGCAGUUCUCAUUAAAUUGAUGAGCUGAGAUCUGGUCCUGCUUCACCAUCUGGAAUUGUAGUCUGGGGUUCUGCUGAAAGCUGCUGACCCGGGAUUCAACUCUUCAACUCAG
ensembl:misc_RNA